UACAGAGGGUGCGAGCGUUGUCCGGAAUCACUGGGCGUAAAGGGCGCGUAGGCGGCCUGAUAAGUAGGGGGUGAAAUCCUGUGGCUCAACUGCAGGGCUGCCUCCUAGACUGUCGGGCUUGAGCACGGUAGAGGCAGAUGGAAUUCCCGGUGUAGCGGUGGAAUGCGUAGAGAUCGGGAAGAACACCUGAGGCGAAGGCGGGUUGCUGGGCUGACACUGACGCUGAUGCGCGAAAGCCAGGGGAGCGAACGGG
rnacentral:rRNA from 1 species